UGAACGCUGGCGGCGUGCCUAACACAUGCAAGUCGGAUGUGCCGCAAGGUGCAUGGCAGACGGGUGAGUAACGCGUGGGGAAUCUACCUUUUUGUGGGGAAUAACGCUCCGAAAGGAGUGGUAAUACCGCAUGAGACCAGUGGCUGGGAUGCUGCUGGUGAAACCUGGGGACCGCAAGGCCUGGGGCAAAAAGAGGAUCCUGCGUCUGAUUAGCUAGUUGGCGGGGUAAUGGCCCACCAAGGCGACGAUCAGUAGCCGGCCUGAGAGGGUGAUCGGCCACACUGGAACUGAGACACGGUCCAGACUCCUACGGGAGGCAGCAGUGGGGAAUUUUGCGCAAUGGACGAGAGUCUGACGCAGCAACGCCGCGUGGGUGAUGAAGGUCUUCGGACUGUAAAACCCUGUCGUCAGGGACGAAGGUGCACGUGUUAAUAGCAUGUGCGCUUGACGGUACCUGGAGAGGAAGCCCCGGCUAACUCUGUGCCAGCAGCCGCGGUAAUACAGAGGGGGCAAGCGUUAUUCGGAAUUAUUGGGCGUAAAGGGCGCGUAGGCGGUUUUUUAAGUCAGAUGUGUAAUCCCCGAGCUCAACUUGGGAACUGCAUCUGAGACUGGAAGGCUAGAGUACUGGAGAGGGUGGUGGAAUUCCUCGUGUAGCGGUGAAAUGCGUAGAGAUGAGGAGGAACACCAGUGGCGAAGGCGGCCACCUGGACAGUAACUGACGCUGAGGCGCGAAAGUGUGGGUAGCAAACAGGAUUAGAUACCCUGGUAGUCCACGCUGUAAACGAUGAACACUUGGUGUGGAGGGAGUUGACCCCUUCCGUGCCGGAGCUAACGCGUUAAGUGUUCCGC
rnacentral:rRNA from 1 species